rnacentral:rRNA from 1 species
UACGUAGGGUGCAAGCGUUAAUCGGAAUUACUGGGCGUAAAGCGUGCGCAGGCGGCUUUGCAAGGCAGAUGUGAAAUCCCCGGGCUCAACCUGGGAACUGCAUUUGUGACUGCAUGGCUAGAGUGUGGCAGAGGGGGAUGGAAUUCCGCGUGUAGCAGUGAAAUGCGUAGAUAUGCGGAGGAACACCGAUGGCGAAGGCAAUCCCCUGGGCCUGCACUGACGCUCAUGCACGAAAGCGUGGGGAGCAAACAGG